GGAUGUGAAGGCGAUCUGGUUGCUAUAUCUGUCAGUCUGUUGAUUGCCAGGGUUGAUUUGACUGAUCUGGCUGGCUAGGCAGGUAUCCCCUUCCUCACUGCUCCAUUUUUGUCCCUCCUGAAGCUGCACGCCUGGUUGAAGAGGAGGACCACCCCAAUAGAACUGGACUGUUUUCUUGGUCAAGGGUAUAUUCUCCCCUAAUAGAAUCUCAAAACAAACUCUUAAAACUUGCAAAUCUGGCUUUUCAAGUGCCAUUGUGCUACUUCUACCAGAAAAAUCAAAAGAAAACUUAAAAAAAAAAAUCUUAGUGUGGUGUGAGUGUAUUAUAUCCUCUAUGA
rnacentral:sRNA from 1 species